GACCUAGGUCUUUCUUCCUCUUCCUUUUUCUUGCUCGAGCUUCCCCUUUCUCUUUCCUCCUGCUUCUCUUCUUGGUAUAAUCUCACCCCCCAUCUCCUACUGAAAUUUUUUCGACCACACAAUUCACGAAUGAAGGGAGGUUGGAUCUAAGCUCUCGAGGUUAAUGCGGUGAAAGCAACGGAGUUUCAAGUUGCUUCAAGUUCAGUAGGAUAAAUUACGCGAAUAAACCUCGCUCUCCCCAAGCCAAGACAUUAGUUUGGGGAUAUGGAUACAAAAGCGCCACCAAUCACAAGUUUAAGCUUGGCUGCUUCUGUGCCAUCUACAACAAGCGCUGCUUCUCACAGGCUUUCUGUUUCUAGAGUUUAUAUGAGGUCUUGUUUCUUUGGCAACAAUGUGUAGAUACAUAAUGCAUUGUUUAUAGUUGGAGCAUUGAGAUUGAGUGGAGUUCGGUCCAUGUUGUGAUUGUAUUGGUAAUGUCAGAUAAGGUGUUUGGGCCGAAUGCGACAACGGAGGAGGUUUACGAUAUAGCUGUUCGGCCUAUUGUGAAAUAUUUAAUGGAUGGUGUUAACGGAACGGGGUUUGCUUAUGGUGUCACCAGUAGUCGAAAGGCGCACACAAUGCAUGUCCACUGCAAGUUUAUGGGUAAUGGUGGUGGUGAUAUAGAUCCAAAAGAUAUAGAGUAUGCCAAGAUGUGUUGAUUUGUAGUUGCAUAUGGUAUCUUCGAUGGAUACAAUACACCAUAUCAGCUUAAUAAUAUUAGUGCUCGGUCACAAAAGUUCUUUUGUUUUCUUAUGGUGGUUGAUGAGAAUCUUUUUUCAUCAAGAAAAACGUUUCUGUAAGAGUGGAAACUGAUGGGGGUCAUUGAGUGGGGGUUUGACAUCUUAUUAUUCUGAAGCAUCAACCAUAUGAUGAACCCGGAAGAAAUGGAAAGGUUCCAAAGAUAUUAGUAAACAUGAUUUUUCUAGAAGCGUUGUACAACAUCUGGAUUGAUGGUAAAGUGGAGCUAAUACUUGAUCCGUUACUUAUGGUAGAGAGGUCAGUUGGUUUACCUUUGACCCCAAGCUUCAUAUUGAAAGGGAGCAGUUGAUUAAAAGGGAACAGUGAUGUUAUCUGACAUGUACGACAAAAAUCACACACCCGCUGAUUAAUGAAAACUUGCAUGGAGCUCUAACAUAUGGCGGGUGAGUUGAAGCUAGAGAACCUAGACACUGCCCUUCUAUUGAAGAUAAGGAGUGCGCGAGUUUGCAAGAGUAAUGUAUAUGGCAAGGUGGAUUGGCGGACAUCGUAGUCUGAAAUAUGUCUAUAUUUCUACCUUUCUUAGGGGGAGGGGGCUUUGCUAAUUUUCAUAUUAUAUUCAGGUAUCUGGCUUGUCCUAACAAAAUGCAAUGAAGUACUCAACUACUCCAUCCAACGAUCCUGACACACAUGAGGAUUUCAGGCGAAACCAGUAAGGCUAAGAGUGAUCUUUCUGUCAAAGAUAUUGUUGAGCUGGUGAUGUUUUUUCUUUAUCCAUGGUUCUUUAUAUAAUGACUUUGUCGCAUAUGCCCUUCUCUUUAGCUCGGGAUUGUAUCUUUUUGCUUAUGAAUCUUAUGGUGAAUGCAGCUUCAAUCUUGGUAUCUUCCAAACGUGAAGGAAAAUCCGGUUAUGAUGUAUAUAAAGGGGAUUCCCGAAAUGCCUAGAUGCGGUUUCAGCUCUCUUGCAGUGAGGGUACUGAAAGUAUAGCGCCGAUAGUGAAAUUUCCUUAAUAUCCUAAUCAUGUUGCAUCCUCCAUAUCAAGCAGAAUCAUGGUGGAAGUUAAAAGUUGAAGUUAUUUUGUUGUUAAAAUCUCUCCUCUCUGUAAUGUUUCGAUUUGUUUAGGUUGAAAUGAGUUUGUCUAAAUAGGUUGUGGUUUUCAAGAUUUGUUGAAUUAUUGUAUGUAUAUAAUUUAUUGAUUAUGGUUAGUGUUAAGAGUGAUACUUGUAUAGUUGUA